GACUCUCGGCAACGGAUAUCUCGGCUCACGCAUCGAUGAAGAACGUAGCAAAAUGCGAUACUUGGUGUGAAUUGCAGAAUCCCGUGAACCAUCGAGUUUUUGAACGCAAGUUGCGCCCGAAGCCUUUUGGCCGAGGGCACGUCUGCCUGGGCGUCACGC
rnacentral:rRNA from 2 species